rnacentral:misc_RNA from 1 species
GAGAAACUUCAAAAUGACAAAGUUCCAGAUGCCAAUGAAGAAAAUUAUUGCAGGGCACCAUUUCUUAAAUAAUGGUGUACAGAAAAGGAAUGGUAUCACAAUUUGAGAUUGCACUAAAUAAUAAUAAACAAUAAUAAUCUAAUUAUCUGAAAAUGGCAAUGUACAGCAAUAGAACUUCAAAUUCCCCUUGGUGAAGUGCAAUGCAUCUCAGCUGUUUUGGGUAUCAGAUUAUUCAAAUCUAAUAUUUUUAACAGUAAAUUUGGUUCUAUUGGGGAAGAAGAAGAAGAAAGAAUUAUAUAAUCCUUAGAAGGCAGGUUCUGACACAAAGACUGGUUGCAGGAAACAAUUGAAUUCAAUCAUUUAAAGCAUGCACAACAACUGAUGCUUGAAGAUCUCGGUCCACCUUGAAGUGAGAAUGGAAAAACCUCCUUAUCUCUUUGAAAGAACGUGAAAUAAGGAAAUCCUUCAAGAGUCUCUCCUCAGAUUCAAAUAAUACAACAUGACUAGGCAGAGACCAGUUUUUGGCCAAUUCUGAUGCAAAACCAACA